GACAGAGGGUGCAAACGUUGUUCGGAAUUACUGGGCGUAAAGCGCGUGUAGGCGGCCUGCUAAGUCGGAUGUGAAAGCCCAGGGCUCAACCCUGGAAGUGCAUUCGAAACUGGCGGGCUUGAAUGUCGGAGAGGGCAGUGGAAUUCCGAGUGUAGAGGUGAAAUUCGUAGAUAUUCGGAGGAACACCAGUGGCGAAGGCGACUGCCUGGACGAACAUUGACGCUGAGGUGCGAAAGCGUGGGGAGCAAACAGG
rnacentral:rRNA from 1 species